UAAAUUUCGAUUUUAAAUUUUCCAAAUAUAUGCUGGAAUUAGGUGUCUUUUAGGAAUUCUUCAACGCCACCAAAUCUAAUUUAGGAGCUCCAUUGGUUUCCGAAAAAUUCUCAAAAAUGUGUUGGUCAGCUAGGUUUACGCAAACCUAGCUGACC